ACAGUUCCUAAAAGAGACCCUGACCUGAUCAUGCAAGGAAGUGAUUCAGGCAUAAUGAUGCAGGAACUCCUCCUGAGUGCAGAAAUCUGCACAUGUGAUGCAAGUCUCAAGUCAGAUUCUCUACUGUCUUAUUCCAGAUUUUUGCCAGUGCAUUGAGGUCAAUGGAGCUACAGUGCUUAAAACUGGGCCCACAGCAGCCAGUACAGAACAAUGCAAGAAACUGACACUGGAUUGCUGAACCACAGGUUUGAUCUGCUAUGCAACUAUUCCCCUUACAAAAGAAGAUGGGCUGAUGGGUCUGCAUAGCAUCUUUGGACACCUUGAAUGAUAUGUUUUCUACCUCACCAACUCAGUAAUAUGAUUAGAAAGAUUUGCAAUAAAGCUUCCAAAUGUUUCA
rnacentral:lncRNA from 1 species